CCUGGGUGGAGGGCUGAAGCACAAGAGACAGACCACUGCAGAACUGGAGCAGCCAUUGUCAGGGGGCUCUAGAGAUCCUGCUAGGCUUGCCCAGCCACAUGGGGGCACUCCAGCGGUUACCAUGGCUGGCUAUCGCACCGAACGGUCUCCUGCCUAGACCACUGUGGAGUUGUUAGAUCUGAUCAGUGUAUGGGGAGAGGCGUCUGUGCAGUCCCAGCUGCGCUUGACCCGUAGGAAUUGGGAUACCUAUGGGCACAUUUCUCAAGGCUUGUGCGAAAAGGCUAUGAUCAGGACACGCUGCCGUGCAGAUCAAAGAUAAAGGAGCUGAGGCAGGUGUACCGUAAGGUGAGGGAGGCAAACCGUCGCUCCAGUGCUGCACCUAAGACCUGCCAUUUCUAUAAGGAUCUCGACUGUCUCCUUGGUGGUGACCCCACCUCCACCACCAAGAGCCCCGUGGAUACUUCAGAGGGAACAGAGGUGUCGGAAAAAGAACCUAACCUAGAGAAUGAAGUUAUUGAUGAAGAGGUGGAGCUAGACGGGGAUGUGCAAUUCCCAGCAGGGUUGCCCGGUGGGGCAGGCAGCCAAGAACUUUUCUCCACUCCUGAGGUGCCUAGCCAAUCUCAGCAGUUGCUCUCCAGCAAACAAGAAGCAGGAGAUGAGACGCCUAAUGUGGCCUUCAGGAACACGCCACACAUCCCUGCCGACCAUCUCUGCCAGAUAAGAAAGAGGCCAAGAUGCAUCAAAGACUAUAUGUUCCGGGAGGUACUGCAGUGCUCCACUACAGAGAAAAGGGAAUGAAAGGAGUGCUGGGAAGCCAAAAGGCAGGACAGAAAAGAGAGUCAAGCAUUUGCAACUAGGCAGAUGAUAAAAGUAAUGGAGGAGCAAACAGAGAUGCUCAAGUCUUUAAUAAUGCUGCAGAGUGAGCAGGCCCAGGCUCGACCUCCAUUGCAGCACAUGCACAAUUCUUUACCAGGACCGCCCCCCACACACUCUGCCCGCGCAUUCCUUUCCACUUUCUGGGACUCCUUAGUUUUCCCUUCACUCCACCCCCUCGCACAACUUCCACAAUGAUAGCUGGACCGACACACAGUUGUGAGUGUCUGCCCUUUCCCAGUCCCGCCUUUCCCAGCAAGCAUCUGUGGUUUGAGUAUCACUGUGCUUUUUCUUGAUCAAUA